rnacentral:lncRNA from 1 species
GCCGUCUCGCUUCCAUCACCACCUACUCUGCUUACCAAUUUUAGUGUGUUUUCUGGCACAAUAAAUAAUCAAAUACUAGCACGUAUAAUAUCAUGUAAAAUUAUUGUUUCCCUAUUUAUGUUUUCGUUAGGGACGAUGAAGUUAAAGCAUGGGUCCACGUUAUGUCGCGUUUCAGUCUCCCUACUCAUCAAGUGGCAAAACUAUACUUGAUUUAUUCGAACGUGAAGUAGAUGACAAGAUUUUCGGUUAGUUAAGUUUCGUAGUUUGGACAUAGCAGGAUAUUAGGUGCUUGUUUUUAUUUAUGGUGUCGCUUGUGCAUCUGCAAGGACAUAUUUCUUAAAACGAUUGUUAGAAAUACCAGGUGUAUGGUAUUAUCCUUUUUAUAACAAAAGAAAUGUGAUUUUUUGUUGUUGUUUUCUGGAAUGUACGUUUCAGAUUGAGCACAUAUGGCUACCAAGGGUUUAUUAAGAUAACUCGUAGGUGGAAUUCUCUCAGCUGUUACAUGUGAUGGAGAUGGGAACAUUCAAACCCAUGCAUGAACAUCCAUGCAACAAAAUUAAACAUAAGUAAUUGGUUACUCCUAGCAACAUCAGUGAUAAUGUAAGAAACAUAUAACUUAGAGAAUCAUUAGCGAUGGGAAACCAUGUUGAAUUUCUCGAUUAUUGAAUGGCUAAAAGUUUAUUUAUUAUGAGAAAUCUUCCAAAGAAACUCCUAUAUAGCCAAUGGCCUUAGAUAGAAAUGUGAAAUAUAAAUAAUUUGUAGAUGCUUAUAGAAUAUAAUGAAAAGUGAAGAGUGUUUCAGGAAUAAGCUGCGAAUAGAAAUAUUCAUGUGGCAUCUUGGACUACUGACCAACUUGGUUUACCUGGUUACAAUCAGCCGUAGCUCGAGAAGCAUCAAUUGUUUCCGUUGUAUUCAAUGGAGCAGAACGGGUUUUCUUUUCUCCCUUUUCUUAUCCAGAUGACCUCAAAUGCCGAGGAAGCUGCUCCGUUCACUUAUGAGACAGUGCAGGAGAUGACUGAAAGCCAUGUUUGACGAGAGUUGUUUGGAUGGUUAAUACAAUCUAGUGGUCCAGAUGACAGCUUAUAUGGAUACAAUGUAAUGAAUUUUAGGGAAUAUGUUCUGAAAGUUAUGAUGGAUACCAAUAACAGAUAGAACAAUAGCAAUACCAAAAAAGCAAGCAACUUGUAU